rnacentral:rRNA from 1 species
UGAGGAAUAUUGGUCAAUGGGCGGGAGCCUGAACCAGCCAAGUCGCGUGAGUGAAGACGGUCCUAUGGAUUGUAAACCUCUUUUGUCGGGGAGCAAAGAGGCCACGUGUGGUCAAAAGCGAGAGUACCCGAAGAAAAGCAUCGGCUAACUCCGUGCC